CCUACGGGGUGCAGCAGUGGGGGAUAUUGCACAAUGGGCGGAACCCUGAUGCAGCGACGCCGCGUGGGUGAAGGAGGGUUUCGGCGCGUAAAGCUCUAUCGGCAGGGAAGAAGGAGGACGGUACCUGACUAAGAUGCCACGGCUAACUACGUGCCAGCAGCCGCGGUACUACGUAGGGGGCAAGCGUUAUCCGGAUUUACUGGGUGUAACGGGGGCGCAGACGGUAGCGCAAGGCAGGGGUGAAAGCCCGGGGCACAACCGCGGGACUGCAGUUGAAACUGCGCGGCUGGAGUGCAGGAGGGGCAGGCGGAAUUCCUGGUGUAGCGGUGAAAUGCGUAGAUAUCAGGAGGAACACCGGUUGCGAAGGCGGCCUACUGGACUGCGACUGACGUUGAGGCCCGAAAGCGUGGGGAGCAAACAGGAUUAGAUACCCGAGUAGUC
rnacentral:rRNA from 1 species